rnacentral:misc_RNA from 1 species
CACCAAUCAAGCCUGGCUUGGUGUUGGGGCACGGGGGUGACCCGGCCCUCAACGUCUUCGGCAGGAGCGCCCCGAUCGCAGCGUUGUGGACACACAAUCUCGCUGGUGAGACGGGCGAUUCGCGCCGCGAAACCCAUCAAA